UGGAGCCGGUUCCAAUCGUUCACUUCAAAGAGCCGGCUCUUAGAGCCGGAUCGUUAGCGACCGACACAUCACUAGUUUCCCCUACUACAUGUCGGCUGCCCAAGUGGCUGGUGUGCUUGAUCCGCCCAUCUGAAUCCGUUGCUCUGCUGGUGUUAGCGGCUGCAGCUGGAGGUUGUUGCGGCGUACGGCUUCCAUCUAGCCCUCGCCUGCUGAUCCUCUCUCUCCCUGGGUCGGCUGUGCUACCACUCCUGGGAUUGUUUUGGAGUUGCAGCGCUUGGACGCUCUGCUGUCUUGUCUCGCCGGUGUUUGUUUGGGCCGCUCUCAACGAAACCUGUUGCUGAUUG